UUUUUUUUUAAUAUUUAUUUAUUUAGUUAGUUAUUGGCGGGCACAACAUCUUUGUAUGUGGUGCUGAGGAUCGAACCCGGGCCGCAUGCGUGCCAGGCGAGCGCGCUACCGCUUGAGCCACAUCCCCAGACCCUCAUGCUUGUUUUUGUGUUGUUUUUUUUGUUUUGUUUUGUUUUUGCAGUGCAUGCAUAGUAGGCAAACACCGUACCACCCGGCUGCACCCCCAGCCCAGGGACACACACUCUGUACACUGAGCAGACGGGCUGUGAGUGGCAGGUUGGCCUAACGUUGCCGCCGCUACACAGUUCAAACUAGGAAGGCGCCAGAAACCUCUCUGCCUCUGAGGUGCAGUUCCCUGCCUCCCCUGGGAAGGGGGGAAGGUGAACAGAGAUCCAGGAAACUGAUCUUGCUGUGUCAGUGAGGAUUUGGGCAAGUUGUGUGUAACAGAAAACCCCAAAUAAUAGAGACUAACACAAAAUAAAUUUUUUUUUUUCUCUUCUGAGAGAGAAGAAAGCUAGCGGUAGACAGAGUGAUAUUGUAGUUCCUUGAAGUUAUCGGAGAAUCAGACUUAUUUUAUAAUCUUGCUCUGCCCCUUGUGGCUUCCAUUUCUAAAGUCCUCUCAUGACCCAGGAUGACUGCUUUAGUUCUAGCCAUUAAUCUGCAUCCCAGGCAGGAGGAAGGAGCUUUAUAAAGGAAAUUUUAUAGGAAGUUCUAUGUAACACAACUUGUUUACAUCUCAUUGACUAGUCCUGCUCUGCCAAUUAUGGUAGCAUCAAACUCUGUGUGCCUAUUGAACUCUUGAAAUGUGUCUGGGCCAAUCAGGUAAGCUGCAAGUAUGAAAU
rnacentral:lncRNA from 1 species